CUGUGUGAUCUAAGUUCAGGUGAAGUGGUCAAAGAUGCUUUAUAAAUGCCAUUUCCAACAUAGCUAUCACCACUACAUUGUGGUAUAGGUAACAGAGUUAUUUUAGAACAUGAAACUGAGUUACUGUAGAUAAGUCUCACCUAGUUUAGUUCUUAUAUCUUUCUCCCUGUCUGCUGAAACAAUUGCAGUAAUCUGAAACAUUCCAGCUAGUUCUCCUAAUUGAAUUAGGGUGGGCUGAAGGCAAGAUACCUGGGCAAGGGUAGUAAAGACCUUUUAGUCAAGCAAUCACUUUCAGUCUUUUUCUGUUAUUUCCAGUUAUUCGAAUACAUUGAUCAGAUUCAGAGCCAUGUUAUAAGGAAUUUUCCAAGGAAUAAAAAUGAAUUGAGCAAGCAAGAAAUGAGAAGGGGAGAAAUCGAAGAGUUCCAUGAGAAUUAGGUGGAUUCCUUUUCUCACACUGUUACAUUUAAUUUGUUAUUGUGCAUGCUUUCACAGAUUGCCCACUGUUCCCUGAUGGUCUGAGGAACAUCUCAGAAGUACAGGUUCAGAGAUCCACCUAUCUCCAUUGCUUCCAUUUGUGCCAAAAUCCCAGAAAAUGCGUGGCAGAGACCUCUGUCAAGCAUCGCUUUACCCAACACAGCUUGGUUUGAAAAUAGUCCAGAAGAUCUGUCUGCUGUUCCUGAACCCAAUGCCAAACCAGGUCUGAGCAGGAAGGCUGUAGUUUUCAAGGAAGUGCUCUUUCUCUCUUCCAUUCCCCUUCCUUAUGACAGAAGACAGCGAGCCAAAGUAGCAGAGAAAAUGUUGCCGGCAGUGGGAGAUGUGGAGGGAACCGCAGUCUGCAGCACUCCCAAUGCACAUGCCUAGCAGUGGUGUCAGUAUCAUGACUCCAAUCAACUGUUCCUUCCUAUCACAACCCCCACCCCUUCCUUUUUUUUCCCCUCAGUGUUGUUCUCAGGCCAGCAGCUAUGUGUAAACAGGAUGUGGGAGCUGAACUGAAAUGGAUUCAAGUCCUGUACACCUCCGUCCUCACCUCUGGCUGCAGUGUGCAUCCUGCCUGGAACAUCUGCUUCAGAUAAAUAUAGGGAGAGUUCAAGCUGUGCAGAGAGGGCACUGCCUGCAGUUCUUCAGCUGGUCUGCUCUUGUCUUUAUUUUUUAACAUUAUGAAAUACAGAAAAAGUAUUUUACUUCUAACUGCAAAAAAAUCACUGCUGAAUGCUUUUAUGUAACAUAUAGACACAUAUUUACUAAAUAACUGGAAGAUAUUCUAAGCCUACUGUGAGUGAUAAAGUUUACUGUUUGUUUACCUACAAGUUCUAAUGAUGCCAGGCCAACUUGCACUUUCAUAUGCUGUGGAUAUCCUUGAAGUAACUUGAGAUGGAUUAACACAUUUGGCAGUGCAGCAUUUAAAAAAUUGCCUCUGGUAAUCCAGCUAAAAUAGAUCAUAGGGCUUUAUAGCACAUCCAAACAAAAAGGGAUUUCAUUACAACUUGAAAACUGAAAGCCAGAAUCAUGGCCAUGUGCGCUACUUUUCAGUAGACUCCACGAGGUGGUCUGGAGAUGCACACCAGAUGUCACGGGGCCAGCUCAGCCCUGGGCACUUGCCUGCCCCAGCUGCUCUGCUCCUGCAGACAGGGAGCCCCCACGGAUUGGCAAGGGGUGGUUGUGUGACAGCCAGCUCAGAGCGGGACAUUGCUGGCCACGAGAGCUGGCCCGUAUUUAGACAUCCUGACCUCUAACUGUUCUUGUUGCACCAUCCAUGUACAAAAAAUCCAUGUACAAAAAAGUCCUGAGGAGACAUUGAUCUGGUACUGCCUGUACACAGAUGUAUAAACACUGAGAAAUCUCCAUUUCCACUUUGACUUGAGAAUAAGCGUUUUCAGAGACAGUAAAGGAUGACUUUUGAAUGUAACAGACUUUUCAGUUAAGCUCCCACUUAAUUUACACAUUUCUUGGGUGUUUAUUAUCUGGAGCUCCUGUACAAGCGCUUUGGUCAGCUCGUCUAAUCAAACACCACCAUCUGCAGUAUCACCACUUACAUCUAGACUUAACUGUCCAUCACGCCUUUGCAGUGACAUGGAAAGAAACAGCACUUGAGGCACAAUUUUCAUCCCUUGUUAAAGUAGGUCUCUAAUAAGGGCCAGUGAACGUCCAGUUAAAUAAGUAUAUCUUCAAAUCACCCAUUCUCUUCAGGGGCAAAAGCUGGACCUAGGAAGCUACACAGGAAAUAUUUUAAAAGACGUGAGAAAAUUCUCACACACUGUCUGUUGUAUUCAUUUGCCAAAAUUUUGAGUAAAAGAGGGAUUCUUAAAUAAAUGAAAUAAACUUGAAAUGAAAACUGGCUCA
rnacentral:lncRNA from 1 species